rnacentral:rRNA from 1 species
UACGUAGGGUGCGAGCGUUGUCCGGAAUUAUUGGGCGUAAAGAGCUUGUAGGCGGUUUGUCGCGUCUGCCGUGAAAAUCCGGGGCUCAACCCCGGACUUGCGGUGGGUACGGGCAGACUAGAGUGUGGUAGGGGAGACUGGAAUUCCUGGUGUAGCGGUGAAAUGCGCAGAUAUCAGGAGGAACACCGGUGGCGAAGGCAGGUCUCUGGGCAUUAACUGACGCUGAGGAGCGAAAGCAUGGGGAGCGAACAGG